AGUCGAACGCUUCUUUUUCCACCGGAGCUUGCUCCACCGGAAAAAGAGGAGUGGCGAACGGGUGAGUAACACGUGGGUAACCUGCCCAUCAGAAGGGGAUAACACUUGGAAACAGGUGCUAAUACCGUAUAACAAUCGAAACCGCAUGGUUUUGAUUUGAAAGGCGCUUUCGGGUGUCGCUGAUGGAUGGACCCGCGGUGCAUUAGCUAGUUGGUGAGGUAACGGCUCACCAAGGCGACGAUGCAUAGCCGACCUGAGAGGGUGAUCGGCCACAUUGGGACUGAGACACGGCCCAAACUCCUACGGGAGGCAGCAGUAGGGAAUCUUCGGCAAUGGACGAAAGUCUGACCGAGCAACGCCGCGUGAGUGAAGAAGGUUUUCGGAUCGUAAAACUCUGUUGUUAGAGAAGAACAAGGAUGAGAGUAACUGUUCAUCCCUUGACGGUAUCUAACCAGAAAGCCACGGCUAACUACGUGCCAGCAGCCGCGGUAAUACGUAGGUGGCAAGCGUUGUCCGGAUUUAUUGGGCGUAAAGCGAGCGCAGGCGGUUUCUUAAGUCUGAUGUGAAAGCCCCCGGCUCAACCGGGGAGGGUCAUUGGAAACUGGGAGACUUGAGUGCAGAAGAGGAGAGUGGAAUUCCAUGUGUAGCGGUGAAAUGCGUAGAUAUAUGGAGGAACACCAGUGGCGAA
rnacentral:rRNA from 1 species